AUAAACCGCCCACCCGGCCCAACCCGGUGAAACCCGGAAAAAAAAAGAAUUUGGGCGAGUUGGAUCGGGCCAACGGGUCAACCGGGUUACAGGGGGUUCAAAAGAACGGGUCGGGUACCAAAAAUGGACCCACGGGUACCCAGACCCGCCCAUCUACGAAACACAGCGUUUUGUCAUAGAUUUCUCUUGUUCUCACUUCUCUCACUCUCGUUUUUCCUUUCCAUAUUCUCU
rnacentral:lncRNA from 1 species